rnacentral:tRNA from 1 species
GGUGUGGCUCAGUUUGGUCAGAGCGCCUGGUUUGGGACCAGGAAGUCGCAGGUUCGAAUCCUGUCACC